UGGGGAAUAUUGCACAAUGGGGGAAACCCUGAUGCAGCGACGCCGCGUGAACGAAGAAGGUAUUCGUAUCGUAAAGUUCUGUCCUAUGGGAAGAUAAUGACAGUAUCAUAGAAGAAAGCUCCGGCUAAAUACGUGCCAGCAGCCGCGGUAAUACGUAUGGAGCGAGCGUUGUCCGGAAUUAUUGGGCGUAAAGGGUACGCAGGCGGUUUAAUAAGUCGAAUGUUAAAGAUCGGGGCUCAACCCCGCAAAGCAUUGGAAACUGAUAAACUUGAGUAGUGGAGAGGAAAGUGGAAUUCCUAGUGUAGUGGUGAAAUACGUAGAUAUUAGGAGGAAUACCAGUAGCGAAGGCGACUUUCUGGACACAAACUGACGCUGAGGUACGAAAGCGUGGGGAGCAAACAGG
rnacentral:rRNA from 1 species